GGCUAGUUCUCAUUCUUGGCCCACUCGAAAAGCGUAAGAUCUGCUCACGCUCAGUCCCUACAUUUUGUUAUUUAAAUUUUCACAGAUUCAUUUUCUUCUCUCUUCCACGCCCUCUCUCUUCCCCCUCUGAACUCCAGUCUGUCCCUCUUUUCCUCUCUCCCUCUCUCUCUCGGCUAGCCCCAUCACCGCCCAACUCGGACCGUUGUCGCAUCGUCGUUCGUAUUUUAAUCGGCCCACACUUGCGGGGCUAGUUCUCAUUCUUGGCCCACUCGAAAAGCGUAAGAUCUGCUCACGCUCAGUCCCUACAUUUUGUUAUUUAAAUUUUCACAGAUUCAUUUUCUUCUCUCUUCCACGCCCUCUCUCUUCCCCCUCUGAACUCCAGUCUGUCCCUCUUUUCCUCUCUCCCUCUCUCUCUCGGCUAGCCCCAUCACCGCCCAACUCGGACCGUUGUCGCAUCGUCGUUCGUAUUUUAAUCGGCCCACACUUGCGGGGCUAGUUCUCAUUCUUGGCCCCACUCGAAAAGCGUAAGAUCUGCUCACGCUCAGUCCCUACAUUUUGUUAUUUAAAUUUUCACAGAUUCAUUUUCUUCUCUCUUCCACGCCCUCUCUCUUCCCCCUCUGAACUCCAGUCUGUCCCUCUUUUCCUCUCUCCCUCUCUCUCUCGGCUAGCCCCAUCACCGCCCAACUCGGACCGUUGUCGCAUCGUCGUUCGUAUUUUAAUCGGCCCACACUUGCGGGGCUAGUUCUCAUUCUUGGCCCCACUCGAAAAGCGUAAGAUCUGCUCUUGGAAAUCUCAAUGCGGUGGAGGAUAAAACUCUUUCGAUGGUAUGGAUGUUAAGUUUUUCUAGAAUUUAGUUCUACCGCUCAGUUAUUCAUAGACAGUACUGGAUUUAUAACUGUAUUUCGUUUUCUCCUUGGUCCGGUUAUUUUUCUUAAUAUUGUUGUUGUUUGGUACUUAUUCUUGAAGUCUAAGUUGCGUUUUCACCAAAUGUCUCUGAUAAUAAUAUAAUUUCCAAUUCUGUUAAAUACAAGGAAGAUAUGCUAGUUCAAAAAGGAAAUUCUAAUGCCAUAAUCUGUUUAACUGAUUGCGUAUACUUGUCUUAGAAAGAAGAUAAUACAUAUUGACAAGUUGUAAAUGCUGAGUUUUCCUGGAAAGUUUUCUUUCUAAUGUGAUUUGUUUGCAAAGGGAAUCCUAAGAGAGAGUUUAGACAUAUCCGUACUUGUUUACAGUGAGGCAUACAUGUGUAUUCAGAUAGAUUAGUCGAGGAGGCUCAGAAGGCAGUCCCAAACUGAUUUCAGUGUGGUAAGUUAGAAACUUUUAGCUAACUUCAUAUUUCAUUUUUAAUCUUAGUUCCAAACCUGCUGGAACACAAGUGUCAGUUAUGGGCAUGAAACUUUUCUUGCUUGUGUGUGUAUAAAACUCAUAAAAAUAUGAAGUAGAUAAUAUGCUGGAAGAGGGAGGGAGAGUAUAUUGAGGAGCUUCUGCUAGCUUAUGCUGUGUUGAGGAGGGUGGCCUUAGUUUUGGAUGAAAAAUGAGACAGAGACUGGCGACUUCACCUCGAGAACACUUCCAACAUUGUACUUUAAUCAUAUCCACUCUUAACCUCCCAAGAACCAAAUGUGCCAACUUAAGCAGUUCAGGCUUUCUGUGCUGUUGCAUUUUUGCAUGACUUGCAAUCUCUUUAGAGAGGGCUGGAUGGUAGGUAAACUGCUUGUAAGGCCUACUUUUAAUCUAAAGAAGAUGAGAGAUAACCUACAUUUGCUGGAGAUUCCCACAUUUACACUGUUUUCAUAUGUGAAAGCUUGUUGGAAAUUUCCAUUUUCCACAUUUCUAGUUCAUGUUUUACUCUUGAAUAUAAUCGUUUAUAUGGUUAGUAAUGUUGCAUUUGGUUGUUCACAGAAAAAAUAAGUUUUUUUUAGUAAGUUAAACUUUAAAACGAUCAAAUGACAAUUGGCACACACUUCCCCUGCAUUUUCUAUAUUUUAAUACUUGUGCUUAUAUUGUUUUCCUUUCUUUUCAAACUACCUAGAAAUUGUUAUUUGUAUUCCAAUAUUUUCUUUUUUGUAAUAUAUUGUUUACAUGCUUUAUGUAUUUUAGGUACAAGGCUUGUCAGCCUGUGAUGCUAUUUUGCUAGUAAUUUUUUUUUUCAUAAAAACCUAUUUCCAGCAGCUACAAAUUGCUGGAAAUAUACAUGCUUCUUUUGGCAAUUAAAAUAGCCGCAAAUAAGCAUGCUGCUCUAAUUUUUUAUGUUCUUUUCCUUUCUAUUUUCUUAUUUUUCGCUUUUCCUGAAAUUUUUUUGAUGUUUUUUGUCUGAGGUUUGGUUCUAAUAAGCUGAAAUGGAAUUGGGUUUUGUUCUCGAACACAUUUGCAGCUUAGUUUUCUUGUAUUGAAAAUUGUCAUUGAUCUCCCAAAUAUUAAUAUAGAAUGGCUAUUUGUUUUGGCAGGUGCUCAGGCUGUUGCCACCUGAGUUAUAUGCAUGUAUUUUCUUGCCAUUGAGUGCUUUUCUUGCUAUUGCUUUUAUUUGUUUUUUUUUAUUUUUUAUUUAAUGUAUUGUAGUAUUUGUGACACCAUGAAAAAAAAUAAAAAGGAAAAUGGAAUUAUUGGCUGUAAGGGUAGGUUUAGUUGGUCUAAAGUUACUGAAUCCCACUUUUAACAUGCUUUAUAGCACCUAAGUCAAUUCAGAAUAUAUCCAAACAAUGCCUUAUUAGAUUAUCCAACGUUUCUCACUUUUUCUUUUUCUUUUUCGUGAAGUAAUUUAUUUAACUAGUAUUUUUUGUUUUUAUGAUGAAGCUUUACAUUUAUUAUAUAAUCUUUUGAUCGAUUUCAUUUGUUUUAACCUUUUUACUCAUUGACAAAGAUUAUAAUGUUCGAAGUUUUAAUAAAAUUUACAGUUAUCCAUGCAAUUCAAAAUAUAAAAUAUAUUAAUUACUUUUCUUGCAAAGAAUUGCUUUUAUACCUUAGAGGCGUUGGAGCAUUCAUUUGCUGCAGCUUUGAAUGGCUGAACAAAAGGGAAUAUGUAUUUUUAUUUUGUUAAUAACUGCAAUAUAUCAUCAAUAAUGAUCAAUUGCUUGUAUUAUUGCAUUGGAGGGCACAUAUUUACAUACAUAUGGGUGCGAGAGGGCUUGAUUUUUAUUUUUAUUUUUUAAUUUCAGACAAAUAGCAAGUCUUUUUGGUUUCUCUAUCUUCUUCAUUAGGGUUCUUUAGUUGUCUCAUGCCAUCAUCUCUCAUGGACUAUUAUUUCUCAAGGUCUAUCCUUCAUCCUAGAUAAAAUUAUUUACCAGUCUUUAAUUUGUUGCAUUUCAAAUUUAUCAGCGUG